ensembl:snRNA U2 U2 spliceosomal RNA
AUCACUUCUCUGCCUUUUGGCUAAGAUCAAGUGCAGUGCACAUGUGUUAUAUUUAUAAUCAUAAAAAAAAGUAAAGCUAUUUCCAUUGUAAGGAAAAAGAUGCUUCACUUUGCAAUAAUGAGUGGUUAUGCCUUCCUGCCUUAUCUUCUUUAAGUACU